rnacentral:misc_RNA from 1 species
GGAGUAAUCAUUGUAUAACGGAGCUGGAAAGCUCAUAACUGAUAUUCCUUGUUCCCACCAGAUCUAACAGCUGGCUACAUUAUAACUGCCUCUAACAAACUCACAUUCAAUUAACAGCUUUUCCCUCCAUUCUUUUAACUACUCUUCUCACUUCUUUCUAUACCUAGUCCUUCUAUUUGUAAUAGUUCACAACUUAAUGCUUUUAGGUAAUAGGCAAGCAACUAGUUUUUACAACUGAUUGGCAUUAGGUGCCACUUUGCAAGUCAAAAUAACUCACAUAUUGUUCUUAUUUCUGACUACUGAGAGGCAAAGCUUCAC